AAUUAACAGUGGCGUGUCUAACGCCAACUAUUAAUUUUAUCUGAAUAGAAUAGUCAUCUGUCUAUUUUUCUGUUUUGCUGAUCCUGUUCAGAGUUGCAGGGAGCUGUCACCUAUACCAGCUGAUUUUGAGCAAAGAGAGGAGUGGUUCUAUCCCAAAUGUGUCCCCUAGUGUAGUGUACCCAAUCCUGGAUGUGUGGCUCUCUCAGGUCUCAGUCCCGGUGUUAGCACCUUACCUUAUGAGAGUGUCUGCGGCUCGGAGAGAAUGACCCAACCAGUGCUGCUGCUGAACCAGCUACGGUCCUUAUCGCCGCCAGACUUGAGGGAUAUUGUGUAUUUUGCACAAAUAUGCGUUCAUCUGCGAUGACACGUUGUGGCGCCCCCUAACGGGACAAGCCGAAAGGAAAAGAAGAAGAGGUGGGACAGAUAGAGAUGGCAAAAACUAUGAACAGUAUUUGUUUGGCAGCAUCUGGUGGCAUCUUUGUGACAGUGCGUUGUUGAAUUCCCUCGACUCACCUGAAAUCUGCAUAAGGUAGACUCUGGCAGCAUUGGCAGCCCCACCGCAUAAGAACACGCCAGUCAGCACGAGGCACAGGGACGUGAGCGAGGACGCCAUGGCCUCCGCAUCUGAUCCAGUCGUG